AAAUGAGCAACGAAACGCCGUCACCGU
rnacentral:piRNA from 1 species